UUCUUCAUGGGUUUGUUAGCUACUUUGGAAUUAGUGAUAUUUACUGAUAUUUUACUGGAGUUUCAAUUUGUGGUUCAAAUUGCUAAGAGAUGAAUGAACGUCAAAAAAAAAAGUUGGAAUAUUUGAUUUGGUAUUGGUUUAGUUAUGUUUGAUUUGAAUUGGUUCUAAUUACAUUGCACUUCCGAUUGUAUUGUACUUCUCCCUAUUGCACUGAUUGCAUUGCACUUCUCCCCCUAUUGCAUUUUUUCUGAUUGUAUUGCACUUCUCUCUAUU
rnacentral:lncRNA from 1 species